AUGGGGAAACCCAGUGUGUUUCGACACACUAUCAUUAACUGAAUCCAUAGGUUAAUGAGGCGAACCGGGGGAACUGAAACAUCUAAGUACCCCGAGGAAAAGAAAUCAACCGAGAUUCCCCCAGUAGCGGCGAGCGAACGGGGAGCAGCCCAGAGCCUGAAUCAGUGUGUGUGUUAGUGGAAGCGUCUGGAAAGGCGCGCGAUACAGGGUGACAGCCCCGUACACAAAAAUGCACAUAUUGUGAGCUCGAUGAGUAGGGCGGGACACGUGGUAUCCUGUCUGAAUAUGGGGGGACCAUCCUCCAAGGCUAAAUACUCCUGACUGACCGAUAGUGAACCAGUACCGUGAGGGAAAGGCGAAAAGAACCCCGGCGAGGGGAGUGAAAAAGAACCUGAAACCGUGUACGUACAAGCAGUGGGAGCACGCUUAGGCGUGUGACUGCGUACCUUUUGUAUAAUGGGUCAGCGACUUAUAUUCUGUAGCAAGGUUAACCGAAUAGGGGAGCCGAAGGGAAACCGAGUCUUAACUGGGCGUUAAGUUGCAGGGUAUAGACCCGAAACCCGGUGAUCUAGCCAUGGGCAGGUUGAAGGUUGGGUAACACUAACUGGAGGACCGAACCGACUAAUGUUGAAAAAUUAGCGGAUGACUUGUGGCUGGGGGUGAAAGGCCAAUCAAACCGGGAGAUAGCUGGUUCUCCCCGAAAGCUAUUUAGGUAGCGCCUCGUGAAUUCAUCUCCGGGGGUAGAGCACUGUUUCGGCAAGGGGGUCAUCCCGACUUACCAACCCGAUGCAAACUGCGAAUACCGGAGAAUGUUAUCACGGGAGACACACGGCGGGUGCUAACGUCCGUCGUGAAGAGGGAAACAACCCAGACCGCCAGCUAAGGUCCCAAAGUCAUGGUUAAGUGGGAAACGAUGUGGGAAGGCCCAGACAGCCAGGAUGUUGGCUUAGAAGCAGCCAUCAUUUAAAGAAAGCGUAAUAGCUCACUGGUCGAGUCGGCCUGCGCGGAAGAUGUAACGGGGCUAAACCAUGCACCGAAGCUGCGGCAGCGACGCUUAUGCGUUGUUGGGUA
rnacentral:rRNA from 1 species